AAUAGAUACCCCGGUAGUCCACGCCGUAAACGAUGAGUGCUAAGUGUUAGAGGGUUUCCGCCCUUUAGUGCUGCAGCUAACGCAUUAAGCACUCCGCCUGGGGAGUACGGUCGCAAGACUGAAACUCAAAGGAAUUGACGGGGGCCCGCACAAGCGGUGGAGCAUGUGGCUUAAUUCGAAGCAACGCGAAGAACCUUACCAGGUCUUGACAUCCCACUGACCGGUAUAGAGAUAUACCUUUCCCUUCGGGGACAGUGGUGACAGGUGGUGCAUGGUUGUCGUCAGCUCGUGUCGUGAGAUGUUGGGUUAAGUCCCGCAACGAGCGCAACCCUUGAUCUUAGUUGCCAGCAUUUAGUUGGGCACUCUAAGGUGACUGCCGGUGACAAACCGGAGGAAGGUGGGGAUGACGUCAAAUCAUCAUGCCCCUUAUGACCUGGGCUACACACGUGCUACAAUGGAUGGUACAAAGGGCUGCAAGACUGCGAAGUCAAGCCAAUCCCAUAAAACCAUUCUCAGUUCGGAUUGCAGG
rnacentral:rRNA from 1 species